rnacentral:rRNA from 1 species
AUAGAGACUCAGAGCUGCAUAUCAAUAAGCGGAGGAAAAGAAACUAACUAAGGAUUCCCUCAGUAACGGCGAGUGAAGCGGGAAGAGCUCAAAUUUGAAAUCUUAAAGGGUUUCCCUUUACGAAUUGUAGUUUAAAGAAGUGUUUUCUGUUGAGGUUUUGGUAAAAGUUCUUUGGAAUAGGACAUCAUAGAGGGUGAGAAUCCCGUAUUUGACCUUUACUUUCAACUUUGUGAUACACUUUCAUAGAGUCGGAUUGUUUGGGAAUGCAGUCCAAAAUGGGUGGUAAAUUUCAUCUAAAGCUAAAUAUUGGCGAGAGACCGAUAGCGAACAGGUACCGUGAGGGAAAGAUGAAAAGAACUUUGAAAAGAGAGUUAAACAGUACGUGAAAUUGUCAAAAGGGAAGCGUUUGACACCAGUGUUGUUUUUCUGAAAAUCAAUUAAAGAACUGUUUAUGCUAAGUUGUUUAGACUUUAUCAGCUAACUGUUUAGUUUUGAGCUUUUCUUUAAUGCACUUUUCAGUUAACAAGUCAACAUCAAUUUCUUUGCUGUAAAAAAGCUUGAGGAAGGUGGCUUGAGAUUCGUCUUAAGUGUUUAUAGCCUCUUGCCUAUGCAGUCGGAGAGAUUGAGGUCUGCAGCGUAGAUCCUUCGGGGCUAAAUGCAGUUUGUGCUAAGUUAUAGCAUUUUAUAGACAACUUGUUGACUAUGAUUUGUCUUGUAGCUUACUCGCUUAUGUUAUUUUACCUACGCUUAGGAUGUUGAACGCGCACAGAGUCUC